GAGCGCACCCUCGCCUUUAGUUGCCAUCACGUCUGGGUGGGCACUCUAAAGGAACUGCCGGUGACAAGCCGGAGGAAGGUGGGGAUGACGUCAAGUCCUCAUGGCCCUUAUGUCCUGGGCUACACACGUGCUACAAUGGCGGUGACAGUGGGAAGCCAGGUAGCGAUACCGAGCCGAUCUCAAAAAGCCGUCUCAGUUCGGAUUGCACUCUGCAACUCGAGUGCAUGAAGGUGGAAUCGCUAGUAAUCGCGGAUCAGCAUGCCGCGGUGAAUACGUUCCCGGGA
rnacentral:rRNA from 1 species